rnacentral:rRNA from 1 species
CCUACGGGGGGCAGCAGUGGGGAAUAUUGGGCAAUGGGCGCAAGCCUGACCCAGCAACGCCGCGUGAAGGAAGAAGGCUUUCGGGUUGUAAACUUCUUUUUUCAGGGACGAAGAAAGUGACGUUACCUGAGGAAUAUGCCACGGCUAACAACGUGCCAGCAGCCGCGGUAAUACGUAGGUGGCAAGCGUUAUCCGGAUUUAUUGGGUGUAAAGGGCGUGUAGGCGGGAGCGCAAGUCAGAUGUGAAAAUUCAGGGCUCAACCCUGAGAUUGCAUUUGAAACUGUGUUUCUUGAGUGCUGGAGAGGCAGUCGGAAUUCCGUGUGUAGCGGUGAAAUGCGUAGAUAUCACGAAGAACACCGAUGGCGAAGGCAGCUUACUAAACUGCCACUGACGUUGAUGCUCGAAAGUGUGGGUAGCAAACAGGAUUAGAUACCCGAGUAGUC